UGAGUACAGUUACAGUCACACUUUACCUGCCAGGUGACACUCAUUGAGUACAGUUACAGUCACACUUUACCUGCCAGGUGACACUCAUUGAUUACAGUUACAGUCACACUUUACCUGCCAGGUGAGACCUAUUGAGUACAGUUACAGUCACACUUUACCUGCCAGGUGACUCUCAUUGAUUACAGUUACAGUCACACUUUACCUGCCAGGUGACACUUGUUGAGAUUCAGUCAUGUGCAAACAUUCUAAUGCAGCAAAAGGUAAAAAACACAACUUGUAUUCAAAAUCUCUUCAAGGGUAAUGGUAUUCAACAAUUUAGAGAAAAGGAUGCAGAAAACACACAUUAACACAAACAUGUGAGUAACAGAAUGUUCACAUUCAGCAGUCAGUGUCAUACCAUGAUGGGUGAGUGUGAAUACUAUCCCAGCUACCAGCUACAAGAUAACACAUGACUUCAAGGCACACUACACCAGUAACAUCUUUUGACAUAUUCUUAUUGAGCUUGUUGAUAUGUGCACACAAAGCUGUCUACAUCACUCAAGACACAUGUACAUCACUGUAGACACAUGUAUAUCACUCAAGGUACAUGUACAUCACUCAAGGCACAUGUAUAUCACUCAAGGCACAUGUACAUCACUCAAGACAAAUGUACAUCACUCAAGACACAUGUACAUCACUCAAGACACAUG